AAUCUCUUCAUGUAAGAGAGAAUGUUUCCUUACAAAUAAAUAAUUUAAAUUCCUGAAAGUCAUACAGCAAGUUAAUUAAAUCCUCCAUUUUAUUAUUCUAUGGCAGUACCGUGCGCCAUUAUAAUUCAUAUUCUUUCUAAUUACUCACUGCUGCUUUUCUCUGUUUCACAGCAAUAACCCAGCAUCUCCACCUGUGCAAUAAUUAACCACCUCGUGCUGCUCCAGCUUCCAUGAACUCCUCAUUCUAGGCACCCACAGGCAUCCCAGUACCUUACUCUCCUAGUUCUGAUCAAGAUUCCCACCAAGAUAAUUUGUAGGAUUUUCUUUUUACUCUCACAAUCCUUGGAAAGCAAUAAGUUCAGCAGAGGAACGUCUUCCAGCAGAAAGCUUAUCAGCAUGUAAAGAUCUUCUCUACUGCUGUAGCACCAUGCCUGUCUUCUUCCUGAGAUGAUG